rnacentral:misc_RNA from 1 species
UUGAUUUAUUUGCUUGUUUACUCAGAAGAAUACUAAAAAAGACAAGAGUUUGGGUCCUCCGGCGGGCGCCUGGGUCCGGGCCCGAAGGCGCCGGGGCGAUCCCGCCGAAGCAACGAUAGGUAUGUUCACAGGGGUUUGGGAGUUGUAAACUCGGUAAUGAUCCCUCCGCUGGUUCACCAACGGAGA